rfam:Schistosoma mansoni strain Puerto Rico chromosome 2, complete genome
AUCCAGCUGAAGAGUUCCGAAUACAACGAAACGCACAUCCUGGAU